UGUGGCUUUUGGUGCAUAUAUAAUCGCUGGGCAGUAAGCCAGCUCCACUAAGCUAAGGAAAACAAAGGACGAUGGCAGGCGGCGGCGAGGGCGAGGCAGCAGCGGCGCCGUUGCUGGCCCACGUGUACUUCAACGGCUGCCCGGGUUGCGCCGUCGACCGGUGGAAGGCGGAGAACCCGGGGGUCCCGUACAGGCACUUCUUCCACAUCUGGAUCAUCAUCCUCGUCUGCUGUUUGCCGAUAUCAUCGUUAUUUCCCUUCUUAUAUUUCAUGAUAAGGGACCUGCGUAUUGCCAAAAGAGUAGAAGAUAUUGGAUUCUAUGCUGGUUUUGUAGGUGCUUCAUAUAUGAUUGGUCGAACUUUAACUUCCACUGCUUGGGGAAUGGUAGCAGAUCGCAUUGGGAGGAAGCCAGUUAUUGUUCUUGCAAUUUUCUCUACGCUUGUGUUCAACACUUUGUUCGGACUAAGUAUGAACUAUUGGAUGGCGCUAGCUACAAGAUUUCUUCUUGGUUCCUUAAAUGGUUUAAUUGGCCCAAUAAGAGCUUAUGCUGUUGAAGUUUGUCGACCAGAGCAUCAAGCUAUUGGAUUUUCACUUGUUAGCACAGCAUGGGCAAUAAGUAUUACUAUUGGGUCAGCCAUUGGUGGAUAUCUUGCACAGCCAACAGAAAAAUAUUCGAAGUUAUUUCCUGCCAACUCAUUAUUUGGAAGGUUCCCAUAUUUCUUACCUUGUUUAUGUAUAUCAGUCUUCUGCUUGGUUAUUCUCAUAAGUUGCAUAUGGCUCCCGGAGACCAUGCACAAGCACAAACUUGACAAAAAGGAAGAUCAAGAAACUGAAUCUUUGAUUGCACAUUUGGCUGAUUCUGGGGAGUUUUUUCAGCAACAUGAUAGUUCACCUUCAAAUAAGAACUUAUUUAAGAAUUGGCCAUUGAUGUCAUCUAUUAUUCUCUUCUGUAUAGUCUCCUUUGAUGAAACGGCUUACACAGAGAUAUUUUCUCUAUGGGCUGAAAGCGACAGAAUGUAUGGCGGACUAAGUUUCUCAUCUGAGGAUGUUGGUCAAGUAUUUGUAGUUACAGGUGUUAGCAUCCUUCUGUAUCAAACGUUUAUUUAUCCUCAAAUUGUAAAAGUUCUUGGACCAAUCAAAACUUCCCGUAUUGCGGCUAUCUUAUCUAUGGUGCUUCUUUUUACUUAUCCACCUAUGACACAUUUGUCAAGACUUUGGUUAUCAAUAAUAGUAAAUAUAGCAUCAGUGCUAAAGAACAAUUUUGUGGAAAGGGGACUAUCUAUUAUGUUUCCAACAAUAUUAGUAUAUUUGGAUGCUAUGUUUAUCUUGGAGGUAGUAGCCCAAAAGGUAAACAGCAUGUAUUGGUCAAUAUCACACUAACAUUGUCCGUUGUUGCACUCAUUUUAGGUUAAUGUUGUAACAUGCUCUUUCAUUCUUCAGAAUAAUUCUGUGCCUUAGGAUCAAAGAGCAACUGCAAAUGGCUUAGCAACCACUUUAAUGUCUUGUUUCAAGGCAUUCGCUCCAGCAGCAGCUGGUAUUGUGUAAGUAUAAACUAAUUAGUUGCAAGGAUUGAAUUUGCUAGAACAAAGCUUUGGCUCCAAAGUGCAAUAUGAUAUAAUAGUAAAAAAACGUUGCAGAUGAAUUACAUAUAUAGAAUCCAAGUUGAAAAUUAUAUGUGUAUCUUUGAUGUAAUAAUUGGUGUUAAUUUUAGUUGAAUUUUGUAGGAGUAGCUAGCAUGUACCUACUUUCCCUUGUAGCAUCUUUUUUCUGUGAUUUAGUGUUUUAAAGUACGCAAAUACUGGCAUAUUACCGCUUACCAUGGGACAUUGGUUUGCACGACUGAUUCUGCAAGUAUGAUGGAAUUAGAUAUGUCACCUUCAACAGUCACUAUAGUUCUAAAAUAAAUUCUUAAAUGAGAAUGUUUAUAUAACCUAAUGUUUGUAUUUCAUCAUAAGAUUCUCUAGAUAUGAGAUGCACUUGCAGAUGACAGGAAUUUUAUUACUUGGUAAGUGUAGGAUAACUUUUUAAUCGAAUGUUUGCCAAACUGACCUAUUGUAUGUGAAUGUCAUGAAUGAAAUAAUGCAUAUCAAGGGCAUAGUUGACAUCAUAAUGAUAUGUUAAUGCAGGUUUUCAUGGGCACAAAACCGCCAACAAGCUUUUUUCUUUC